UCUCAUCUGUUUUGUCAUAUCUGAGUGGAGGAUUAAAUAAUCCUCGGAGAAUAAAAUAUAGCAGCCAAAUGAAACAAUUUGCUUCCACAUUACAUUUUUAUUCACCCAAAGCUUAUAAUUAUAUAAGAAAUAAAUUCUGUAUGCCUGCAGAAUCUACAUUGAGAUCUUGGAGCCAGCAAAUAGAAAUAAGGCCAGGUUUUUUAGAUUCUUCCUUCAAAAGGAUUAAAACAUUUCAAUCAAAUUCGCAUGUACAAUUAUUUACUAUUUUAAGCCUUGAUGAAAUGUCUAUUCGGCGACAUAUUCAUUAGGAUAAAAAAGUGUUUCAUGGAUAUAUAGAUUUUGAUAAUGGAAUAAAACCUUCCGAAUCUCUACCUGAGGCAAGCAAAGCUUUAUUUCUUAUGGCAACAUGUUUAAAUGGUACAUGGAAAAUUCCUUUAGGAUAUUUUUUAGUAGCUUAUCUCAGUGCUGAGAUCUUAUCAAACAUAGUAACUAAUGCACUCCAUUUAUUACAUUAUACUGGGGUCAUCUGUAAGGCAAUGGUAUGUGAUGGCCUUUCAACUAAUAUCAAAAUGUGUCAAAUACUUGGCGCCUCUUUGAAUCCAAAUAAUUGUGUUCCAUAUUUUAGUCAUCCUAGUAAUUGUGAAGAAAAAGUGUAUGUUAUAUUGGAUGUAUGCCAUAUGAUGAAGCUACUUAGAAAUCUGCUCGGUGAUAAAAAAUUUUUAAUCAAUAAUAAUAAUGGAACUAUAAUAAAUUGUAAAUAUAUAAAAAAUCUUCACAAUUUACAGGAUAAAGAAAGACUAAGGGCUGCUAAUAAAAUUGGCCGUUCUCAUCUUGAGUAUCAUAAGCAGAAAAUGAAAAUUAAACUUGCCGUUCAAGUUUUUAGUAGCUCAGUGGCUAAAGGAAUUAUUUUAGCACAAGAGCUAGGAAUUGAGGGGUUUGAAAACUGUGAAGGCACAGUAGACUUUAUUCAAAUAAUUGAUCAGUAUUAAAUAAAUAUCUUAAUAAUAUUUUUAUAGAAUGUUUGAUUUUUUAAAUACUCGAAAUAUUUGUGCUAAAGGGUUUAAGGCUCCAUUAUCAAAAAGAUCCCUUCCCUAUUAUAAGGAUUUUUUUGAAAAAUGUAUUAAUACCCUUAAAGCUCUAAAAUUUGAAGAUGGAAGAUAUGAAGGUGAAUCAAAUAGAAAAACCUGCAUCAUGGGGUUAAUAACAUCAAUGAAAAGUAUUCUGGGUAUUGGGAAUGAAUUAUUAUUAGGACCUAUUCCCAAACUCAAAUACGUUUUAACCUACAAAACCUCCCAAGAUCAUCUUGAACUAUUUUUUAGUUGUUUACGCAGCAGAGGAGGGUUUAACAAUAAUCCAUCCGCUUAUCAAUUACGAUCUGCCGUUAGAGCUGUCUUGAUAGGAAAAAUGGAAGCAUUAACAACAGGUAAUUGUAUUCCAAUUGACAAUACUAACCUUAUUUGUGGAGAUUAUCAAAAAAAUGAUAAUGAUGAUGACCAUAUAUAUCCUUUAGAUAUAUCAUUUAUAGAUGUGCCAAAUAUCCCAAAAUUAUCACUCUACCUUGAUAAUGUUGCAACAUAUAUAUCUGGUUAUAUAAUACGUAAACUUAUAUCUGAAAAAAAGGUAAAAUGUUAUAAUUGUAUAUCUGCUAUGAUCGAUAAAACUUGUGAAGAUAAUGAGAGCACAAUUUAAUUAAAAUAAAAAACAAUCAAGGAUUAAUAAUCCCUUCAAAGAGCAUAUCUAAAUUAUGUCAACUAGCAGAAAGUGCAUUUCGUAUUUUUGAAAAGAAUAAUCAAAUAAAAAAGUCAUUUAUAUUUAAAUGCAUAGUAUCAUUUGUUAUUUCUAAAGCAAUGGAAACAAACAUUUUUGAUGAUCUGGUAGAUCAUAUGCUAAAUCAGGAGGCUACAUUCAGUCAUUAUCAAAUAUUAAUUACAUUAAUAGUGGAACGCUAUAUAAACAUAAGGUUAUAUCAUUAUGCAGAUAAACAUAACAAAAAUUCAAAUAUCAAUAUUCGGCAGAAAUUGACGAAAACCAUUCUAUUCGCAGGACAAUAAAUAUAUUGGCACAUGAUCUUUUUUAAUUUAUAUUAUGACUGUAUAUAUUUAAAUAUGGAUGCUAUAUAUUAAUGAAUUUUGUAAUUUAUCGUACAUUAUAUAUAUUUUCUAAUUUAUAAUAAAAUAUGGAUGCUAUAUUAAUGAAUUUCGUAA